rnacentral:lncRNA from 1 species
CCUAAUUGACUCCUCUUUCCCGCCAUUUCCACAAUCCCUAAAAAUGUUUAAUCGUCGACAGUGUCUCUUCUCCCUUUUUAUCCAAAAAUCGUUAUAAUCCAAACUCCUUUUUGUAUCGCCAUUCAUAUAAUUGUUUUGUUUCUGUGGAUCUCUACUUUGAAAAGUGGUUCUUUUUUGUUUUUUGGGUUUAAUUGUUGCGGGAAAGAAAGAUGACGAGAGAAGAGAUCGAAAGCAGAGAAGAUGAAUCGAUGAUGGACGCACCACAGAUCAACAAGCCGAAACCAGAAGAGUUCUUCAACGUUAAUUACCUCCGAAUUUACUACGGCAAGAGUCCUUUCUCUUUCUUCACAUCAUUUUUGAUUUCUCUUCGCAAAUCAGAUCUCUUAAUUAUGCUUUAAUUAUUGAAUGCAGGAACAUAAUUUGGUAUAAAUAAAUAAUCUUAUAGUUUUGACAGCUAUUACUUUAUCAUUUUUUUUGUUUGCGUUCCAAAUAAAAUAAUAUAGGUAAACAUCUGUUUCAUGUUUGAAGAUCUUUUUGGCUCCCUCUUUUGGGCGAUUUUUUCUCUCUCUUUUCAUACGAGGAUUUUCUCGUUUUAAGGAAAGUAGGGCUUUUUGGUGAGAUUUUUUCCUCUUUUUGUGGACACACAAACAGAAAAUUUCCUUAUUUUGGGUGGAAAUCUUGGAUUUUUAGGUGUUUUUCAUUGGAAUUCCUAGGGUUCUUUACUAGCCGCCCUAGAUUUUUUCAAAAAUAAGAACAGAGAAGAUUUUCUCUUCUGCUUGGAGUAAUCAUGAAUCUUAACAGAGUGUUUGAGACGAUGUCUUUGGAGGAAGAAGAAGUUCCCUACGAUCUACCGGACCUACCGCAAUUCAGUGCAGUGGAAAACAAUAGGCUGAGCAUAAUUGGGAGAGCUUUAAAUCCUGAGAGUCAAAGGAUGAAGGACCUGAUCUUGGAUAUGCCUAGGAAGUGGCAAGUCUAUGAUAGGGUCCGUGGUGUGGCUUUAUCAUCUACUAUGUUUCAGUUUAUUUUUAAAUAUGAACAUGAUCUAGAGGAGGUGAUGCGUAAACGGGUUUGGACGUUUAAUGAGUGGAGUAUUGUGAUUGAUCGGUGGGUGGAGAAGCCACCAGAUGACUACUUGAAGUAUCUGUUGGUUUAUUCCGGUGAACCACUACACGAAAGAAGCUAUUGGAACUUUUGGUGAUUUCAUCGGCAAGGUAGAUGUGGUUGCCUUUGAUCCCAACAAAGCACAAAGUCAUGAUUACGUGAGGGUACGGGUCUUCUUUGAUGUCUCGCGACCUGUUAGGAAGACAAAAGUUAUCAAUCUACCGGGUGGGGGUACGGUAACUUUAAAGUACGAUUUUGAGAGGAUACAAAAACGAUGUUAUCACUGCCAACGCCUUACUCAUGAGAAAGAUAAGUGCCCACUGCUAAUUCAGGAGAGGAAGGAUAAAGCUUUGGAGCACAGGAAGAAUGCUUUGGCCGAGAAGCAGAAAAGAGAGCUGAUGAUUCAUCGAGACGACCCUCUCUAUGGAGUCUUGAGUGAUGAGCAAGUGGGUCUGGAUCCUGCUACUGGGAGACGUAAAAUUAACCCUGAGGUCCUACAAAAUAUGCGUGAGUAUCUCCUAGCGGCGGAAGGUGGAGAAAAGCGUGUGAGGGAGGAACGUGUGAGAACUUCUGUUGUGGAGCUGAGUGAUGAUCCGAAUGGUCAGAAGAUGUUCUUGAGACUGGAGGGCCCGCCUGUGGUGAUCUGUGAUUUAGACAAAGACAAAGGAGUAGUCUUUGACUAUGCUCUGAAGAAUGUGGAGAACCAAGUUGCACUACGAAGGUCGGAGGGUAAUGUUAACAAAAGCUUGGUGAUAAGGGAUUUUCAAUCAUCCGGACCUGACGUGUUCAAGGGGAAAGCUGUAGAUCAUCCCCUCUCUCCGGUCUUUUUUGAAUGUCCGACGGGUUUUAGCUCUGGAUUUUCAGAUGCUAACUCUUCCGGGACUUCACGACAUAAGGGAGGCAAGCGGUAUAGGCCACCAAAGAGGAUGAGGAAGUUUAAGCUGAAAUCUCCGGCUUCGGAGGGAGAUGAGGCCAAGGGGAGGAAUAUUGACGAUACUGGGGUUAAAAGUGCUUUCAAGAGAAGAGCUGAGGCUGUGGCAGGGGAAUUUUCUAGAGUUGCGAGAAGGUCAAAAUCAGAGGUGGUCCCAAUUGGGGGACUGCCCAAUCAAUAAUGUGGAUACUGAGUUGGAAUUGUCGAGGCUUGGGACGGUCUCAGGAUUCGACAAUUCCUCGUCUCAAGGAGAUACGUAAAAUAUAUUUCCCUGAGAUUGUGUUUUUGAUGGAAACUAAGCAACAGAAAGACAUGGUGGUUGAUUUGAAAGUGGUUUUGGGAUAUGAUAGAGUGAUGGUAGUGGAUCCUAUUGGUCUAUCGGGAGGUUUGGCUUUGAUGUGGAAACGAGAUGUGGUCGUAGAGGUGAAUUUUGCUGACAAGAAUAUCUUGGAUUGUCGGAUAAGUUACAGAGGUCAGAUUCUAUUUGUAACCUUUGUGUAUGGGGAGCCGAGUCAGCAAGGUAAAGGGAAAGUGUGGGAGAGAAUAAUGAGGUUGGGAGCAGGAAGGAAGGUGUGUUGGGGUUUGGUUGGUGAUUUCAACGAAAUUUUACAUAAUGGUGAGAAGAUUGGAGGUCCGAAAAGGGGCCCUGCAUCAUUUAUGGAUUUUGCUGCAAUGUUAGAGGUUUGCGAGAUGAAGGAACUUUCAGGUUUUGGUGAUAGUUUUACGUGGGCGGGAGUGAGAUACAAGAAGUAUAUUCAGUGUAAACUGGAUAGAUGCUUUGGGAAUAAGAAAUGGAGAAAUGCUUAUCCCAAGGCUACGCAGACUUUCAUGGAAAGGCUUGGCUCUGAUCACAGACCAGUGAUGGUCAAUCUCUUCUGUGAGAAGGACAGGAAGAGGGUUGCUUUUCGUUUUGAUAAACGCCUGGUUGGUAAAAAUAGGGUUGAGGAAACCAUAGGGGAAGCAUGGAAGAGGGCCAGGGGGAAUAACAAUUUAUCAAUUGUGGAAAGUCUGGGGGCUGUGCGGAAGUCUUGGAGAAAUUGGAAAAGGGAGAACAAUCACAACUCGAAUGAGCGAAUGCAGAAGCUCAGACAUGAACUGGAACUGGAAUCUUCUUCUACAUCGCCUUGUUGGGAGAGAGUGAAUGAAUUAAAAAUGGAGAUUGGAAAAGCUUUCAAAGAGGAGGAAGAAUUCUGGGCGCAGAAGAGUAAAGACAAGUGGUUUGUGGUGGGAGAUAAUAAUACAAGUUUCUUUCAUGCUUCUGUAAAGGCAAGUAGACAGAACAACCAGCUCUCUAAACUUGUUGAUGACGAAGGAAGAGAGAAUCUCUCAAUACCUCAAAUGGGAAAGACGGCUACAGACUAUUUUGAUAAGCUGUUUAAAUCAAAACCUUCGAAUGAGGUGAUGGGUUUUUUCACUGGUCUGCCGAUUAGGGUCUCAGAGAAUAUGAAUCAAAACCUGAUAAAGGAGGUCAGUGACGCGGAAGUUCGAGCGGCUGUUUUCUCUAUUAAGAAGUCGAGUGCUCCUGGAAGUGAUGGUAUGAACGGUUUGUUUUUCCAGGAAUAUUGGAGUAUUAUUGGUGUGGAGAUUGUGAAGGAGAUUAAGGCUUUCUUUAUUACUGGAGUUUUUCCAUUGGAGUGGAACCUUACGCAGAUUUGUCUAAUUCCAAAAAUCACAAAUCCCACGACAAUGGUUGAUCUGAGACCCAUUAGUUUGUGUUCCGUGUUAUACAAGAUAGUGGCUAAGAUUCUGGUGGCCAGGCUCAAACCGAUGCUGGAGCACAUUGUGUCACCCACACAAUCUGCAUUUAUACCUGAGAGAUUGAUUUCGGAUAAUAUUAUCAUAGCUCACGAGAUGGUACAUGGGUUGAGAACUCAUGAAAGGAUUGCCAAAGAGUUUAUGGCGAUCAAAACUGAUAUGUCGAAGGCAUAUGAUCGCAUUGAAUGGAAUUAUCUUGAAGGUUUAAUGACGGCGCUUGGUUUCCAUGCUAAGUUCCGAGAAUGGAUCAUGUAUUGUGUCCGAUCUGUCUCCUAUACUGUUCUUAUAAAUGGCGAGGAACAGGGAAAGGUGGUACCAAGUAGAGGUCUGCGACAAGGAGAUCCCCUGUCCCCUUUCCUAUUUGAUCUUUGUACAGAAGGGCUAUCCCACCAGUUGAAUGAGGCGGAAAGAAGAGGUGAGAUCACUGGAAUUCAGUUCUCAGAGGAUGGGCCGUCGAUUCAUCACUUAUUCUUCGCUGAUGACUCACUUUUGUUGUUAAAAGCAAAUGAAGUAGAGUGUAAUGUGGUCUGCAAGAUACUAAAGGAGUAUGAAGAGGUAUCUGGCCAGAUGAUCAGCUUCUCGAAAUCGGCCAUUACUUUUGGUAAGAAGGUUGAGGAAAAUACAAAAGUGAAGAUUAGAGAGAUCACUGGUAUUACAAAUGAAGGAGGAAUGGGGAAAUAUUUGGGUUUGCCAGAAUGUUUCAGUGGCUCCAAGGUUGACAUGCUUCAGUAUAUUCAUGAAAAAAUGACAUCGCGGUUCCACGGCUGGUAUGCUUUUUUCUUAUCAACGGGUGGAAAGGAGGUUCUACUCAAGUCAGUCACAAUGGCCAUGCCGGUUUUUGCUAUGUCAGUUUUUAAACUCCCGAAGACGACAUGUAAAAAUCUUACUAGUGCAAUGGCAAAUUUCUGGUGGAAUGCACAAGAUGGAAUAAAUAAGAUGCAUUGGGUCUCUUGGGAGAGGAUGUGUCUGGAUAAACAGGAUGGUGGCAUGGGUUUUAAGGAUUUAGAAAAAUUCAACCAGGCUCUGUUGGCAAAACAGGGGUGGCGGUUGCUUAUGGAGCCGGAAUCUUUGUGUGCAAGGGUGUUAAGAAGUAGAUAUUAUCCGGCUGGUGGCUUCUUGGAGGCAAGACUCGGACCUAGGCCUUCUUACGCGUGGAGAAGUAUAUUAUUUGGACGUGAGUUGCUGGUAAAAGGACUGCGUCGGAAUAUUGGAUCGGGGGAGAGUAUCAAUGUAUGGAUGGACAAAUGGCUCUUUGUUACGGAACCAAUGGCUCCAAUGAGGAAACAGAUUCUAUUUAAUCUUGAUCUUAGGGUUUGUGAUCUUAUUAAUCCACAGACAAGAGGAUGGGAUCGAGGGAAGCUGGAGGAAGUUUUUUUCUCGAGUGAUAUCGAGUUAGUUCUCAAAAUGAAGCCUGCUGUUGGUAAGGAGGAUUCUUAUGAGUGGGUCCAUAACAGAUGGGGAGCUUACUCUGUGAAAUCGGGGUACUGGUUGGCAUGUUCUCUGGACCAGUCAGAAGUGAGAGUGGCGGCUAGGAGUAAACCAUCAAUAAAUGAUCUGCGUAGCCAAGUGUGGAAGGUAGACACGGCGCCAAAAAUCAAAAUCUUUAUGUGGAGGGAUCUUUCAAAUGCUUUAGCCGCUUCAGAGGAGUGUAUUGCUCGUGGGAUGAAGGUGGACUCUAGAUGUCAAAGAUGUGGGGAAGAAGGAGAAACUAUUAAUCACGUCUUAUUCACAUGUCCUGCGGCUCGACUGGUAUGGGCGACGUCGGGGUUCCCCUUUCCGCAACGAGGUUUUGAACAUAGAUCUUUAUAUGAAAAUUUUAGCCAUCUGCUGAAUAUUGGAAAAGAUUCUAGAGUGCCAAAGGAUGUUAGUUGUUCUUUCCCGUGGAUUCUAUGGAUGUUGUGGAAGAACAAGAAUGCUUUUAUCUUUGAAGGAAAAGACUAUGAGGCAGAGGAUACGGUCAUGAAAUUUCGUGAGGAGUCCAGGCGAUGGACAAUGGUUACUGCAGAAGCAAAAGCGGAAACGGGGAGUAGGAAUCAGAGCCAAAUGAAUGGUAAAGGAUGGACAGCACCAGAGAGUGGAAGAGUGAAGUGCAAUAUUGGAAUCUCAUGGUCUAAAGCGACGUGUAUGGCUGGUUUGGGCUGGAUUGUAAGGAAUAGUGAAGGUCAAACUCUGCUUCAUAGCAGAAGAGCUUUUAAUGGUGUGUUGUCGCUUUUGGAGGCUAGACGUUUGGGUUUAAUCUGGUCAGCUGAGAGUAUGAUUUCUCAUAGAUUCCAGAAAGUGAAUUUUGAGCUGGAGGAUCAUGAACUGGUGGGCUCUAUGAAUAGACCUAAGGCAUGGCCAGCGUUCCGGGGGUACGGUGAGGAGUUAAGGGGUGUUCUGAAUAAUGUUACAGAUUGGAUGGUAAGUUCAGUAAAGAGAGAGGCAAACAAAGCUGCCUUUAUGAUUGCUCGGAGUGUGACAAAGGAAAUGAGAUACCAAUCAUAUGUAGCUCAAGGUAGCCCUUCUUGGUUGAGGAGCUUGCUUGCGGAGGAAGGUACAAGGUCAACAAGAGUAUAAGGUGACGCUAGAUGGAGGGUCUUUGAAAUGGAGGAGUUUUGGGUGGGAUAACGUGCUUUAGGCUGUCGUUUUCCUUUUUAAAUUUGAGUUGGUUGUGUUUUUCAUGGUUCUGUAGGAAUUUGUUUCUGGUUUUUAUUUCUCAAACAUUUAUCUCAGAGUUAAAAAAAAAAAAAGAGUUUGCUGUAUUCUAAACAUUAAUGGGCCCAAAUAAGUAAAGCCCGUUAUAAAUUGUCCCGCCUAAUUGACUCCUCUUUCCCGCCAUUUCCACAAUCCCUAAAAAUGUUUAAUCGUCGACAGUGUCUCUUCUCCCUUUUUAUCCAAAAAUCGUUAUAAUCCAAACUCCUUUUUGUAUCGCCAUUCAUAUAAUUGUUUUGUUUCUGUGGAUCUCUACUUUGAAAAGUGGUUCUUUUUUGUUUUUUGGGUUUAAUUGUUGCGGGAAAGAAAGAUGACGAGAGAAGAGAUCGAAAGCAGAGAAGAUGAAUCGAUGAUGGACGCACCACAGAUCAACAAGCCGAAACCAGAAGAGUUCUUCAACGUUAAUUACCUCCGAAUUUACUACGG